CAAUAUUAACAGCAAGAAAACAUGAACCCCAGUUUCACCAAAAGCAAAUGAGAAAUGGAACAGAAAAGGAGAGAAAUGGCAAGUCAGACUGAAGAGAAAGAGAACUGAGGAAAAAUUAAGAAGCAGAAAAGGACCUUCAGUGGAAAGAAGAGAACAUUUGAACACAACUGCCUGCUAGUACACGUACUACAACAAGAGAGAAAGAAAACCUGAGGAUACAACCCACUACGUUCUGAGAAGGCUAAUAGCAGGAGAAGCCUAUUACUCAUCUACAUUCAGCACUAAAAAAUGAAGG